rnacentral:tRNA from 1 species
GUGGGGUUGUGGCUCAGUGGUAGAGUGCUGGCCUAGCACCUGUGAGGCCCUGGGUUCGAUCCUCAGCACCACA